CCGCCUUUUUCUGGGAAGUUCACAGAAAAAAGGAGUUACUUUGUUGUUCUUUAAAACAAACUCAAGAUUAAAAAAAACCCACAACCCAGCGAACCCAACAAAGUCUGAAUUGCAGAGUCUGCCUGGCUAUGUCUUGAGGCUCUAUAAUGGAGCCCACUGGUGUAGUUUCUUUGUAGCAGUGCGGUUAAUAAAAUGAGAUCCCAGGUGAACUUCUUGGUGGCUUUUCAUCCUCUGUGGUGGUAGGCAGCAGAGCCUGGUGUAAUUCUGAGGUGAUCAGUGUUGAUUUGUUAGCUUUGCCAGGGACUAGAGCCUAGACUGUGACUGAGAAAAGGACUUCUCACUCUCUGGAUAGCAUAUGCUCUUCUACAUCUUUAUAAGCUGUCUGGGGCAGGAGCUGUCUGUGUUCCUGCCAGGCUUCUCAGUUUUGCCAUAAACCCCAACAAAAGAUAACUUUUUCUCUCCAUGCAGAUUCCUUGAUUUUUGGUAACAGUCAGAUCUGAAAAGUUGUUAGUAUUACUGGAAUAAAACAUGCUGGAACAACCAGGAAUGGGGUCUCCUGUGUGAAGGAGGGCUUUUCUUAGAAGAAUAGUAAAUCAAGGCUAUAUUUAAAAAGGUUUACUUGCCUUAUUCUACUUCACACUGGCUUUCAAAGAAUAGAAUUAACAAAGUGGGUCUUACUCAUGUAUUUAUAUUCUUUAGAUGCAAACUCUUCAUUAUGUUUUAAGGUUAAUGACAUACUCUAGGUGUUUGACCUGGUGUGCUAUAAUGUGUGGUACAAGUUGCCUGAGUAAUCUGGCAUAUUUUAGGACUUCAUUAAAAUGCAGUGGACUUUGUUGUGUUCCAUGUGGGCUUACUUUUGGCUGGUGGCUUCAGUUACCAAGAAGUGAGAUGGGAGUAGGGGAAAGUGUCUCCUUAGCUUUUAAUUUCAUAUAAGCAAAACAUGAUUAUCCUAUUUGAUUUUAACUGUCAUGAUAUUAAGGACAUUGUCUUGAUCUCCCUGUUUUGUAGAACCAACUGGGGAGAUGGGAAGUAUUCAUUGAAAGCUCUUACCACUCUUCAAUGAGAAGACAGAUGGUUACUGGGGGUUCAGAGAGGUGGUUUUUCUUUUCAUAAUGGAGCAAACCAAGCCCAGAAUGUUUGAGGAUGGCCCGUAAAAGGAAAGGGACCAUGCACCCCUGUGAGAGAAAGCAGAGGCAGAAACCUGGCUGUUGUCCUGCAUGCAUUGAAGACUAAACAAAAAAGAGAUGGAGUGACUUUGGUGUGAGGGAAGCCACGCUGGUAGCCCCAGUAAUGGAUGAUUAAAUAAGCGAGUGAUUCUGGGGCAGUGCCUUCCAGCUGAAUAUAAUUAAAAGCCUUUAGCAAUCAUUCUUCCCGUGGGUGGUUUUGCAUUCCAUUUUUAAUCAUAAGCAAAAGAGCUGGUUGGCUGUUUUUUGUUGUAUUUUUCAAAUGGCAUUCCAUCGUUUAAGCUCAAUGAAUGGGGACAAUAAUUGUAACUGAUUUUGUGCCUAAUCAGGACAUAUCAUGUAAUUGUGGCUGAAUUCCGAGCUCUUUUUAGUAUUCUGUGGAAGUCUGGGACUUUGAACAUAGUUCUGAUUUUUCUGUCUUCUCCCACAGUCUGGAAACUGACAGGUAGAGGGCAGCAAAGCUCCAUUUUUUUUUUUAGUUGAAACCAUUUUUUUAUUGAAGUGGUUUUUAUCAAGCUAAAUAAUGAUCAUGUCAGUUAGAUGCAUUGGUUGAUGAUCUGAGUGGCUCAAAAUUAAUAUAAAAUUUUCAAUUAAGAAAAAAUAUUUACUAAAAUACAAAUAAAUUUAAAAGAACCUGGCCUGCAGUACGAUUUAACUGGUUGUGAAGCAGCUGGAAUACAAGGGGGAAAAAAAAUCAUUUGCAAAACCAACCGAAGGGCGGCUUUUAACAUCAAUAGUGAGAAACUUGUGCUGGUUUAUGCCAAAAUCUGUAAUUACAGACCGCAUGCUGAAUUGUAUAAAUGGAAACAAAAUGAAAUCACACACAAAUAUCUCCUGCUUAAGGAAGAAAAAAAUGAAAGGGAGUCUUGCAUGCAGCUCUGGAUUGAUUUUUGGAUAAAUGCCCCAUCUUUGCCUCAUUUAUCUCACAAUGUGAAACUAGUCAUAUUACUCAGUGGUGACACUAUUCCCCUGUGAUUCUUUAAGUGUAGUUAUGAAAUGAUGGCACUGAGUUUGAAAUCAGUUACUCCUCCAGCAUCAGUGUGAGCUGUAAACAUUUCACAAGAGGAACAGGAAAAGCAUUAAACCAAAAAUGCUGUUAAUUCUUAUGAGUUCACCCAAAAGGGAAUACCCCAUGCAGUACUUUAGCCAUUAAUAAUGAAUGUUAUUCAUUAAUGCAGAAAGUGGAAUUUACUUAGUUAAAUACACUGGAACAUAUAUUUUAUCUUUCAGAGUGAUUAUAACGUUGUACUGUUUAGCUGGUACUGUUGCCUGGUACUAGUAUUGCAUGUGGCUGUACAGUGAGUGUGCAGGGAGUUUAGGGGACAAUUUGAGCUCAAAGCCCUGGUUUAAUAAGGAAAAUCAGCGUCUGAAGCUGGCAACAGUCACGCUUUGUUGUGACUUUCUGUUCUGAAACGUACCUGCCAUGUGUUUAGUAGAAACAAACCCAAACCCCUCUAUUCAAAUCUUAUGGCCCUUUUACCUCUAUUCAAAUGUUCUGUCCAUUUUCAGAGUUCACUUUUAUAUCAUGUAGAUUCACUAAAGACAGAGUAUGUAAGGACUCAUAGUGGCUCACCAGCUCUGAAAUUUUCAGAUUUUGUACAUCCUGGUUGAAGCUGUCAGGUAAGGGGUAGUGCCUCAGUCUUGGCCUCUUUGCCCUCUGCACACUUAGUAGCAACCCACACUUCCAGCUGUGUGUUUCUUUCAGUUACAUCUCAGGUAGCUAUUCAUUUGGCGUCCUUGUUUGUAGUGGACUAAAAAGAUGCAGGCAAAAAGUUUACAAAAUGGAGAAAUCGAGUGUAAGUUGGAAGGCAGUAAACAUGAAGAUGCUGUCUGUCCUUUGACCGCUUAUUUCAGAGAUAGAAGGUGUUUUGCAGGUUUAAAUUGGGAGGUAAUAAUAAGAUUCCUCUUAACUUAAAAAUGAUUUUUUUAUUUUUGUAGGUUUCUGUCAAAGUGCCAAUAUAGUUUUAAACAUAUUGUAUUAAUUUUAUCUCAUGUGCUGGGACUUUCACUGCUGUCAACAGGUGUCCUCUCUGAAUGCCAUGGAAAGCAGAAUUUGGCUUCCUUGGUCUUACUGUGCUUCAGAGUUUGGAUUGUGUUUUGUUUUCUCUCUGUUUGUUUUGUCCAUUUGUCAGUGGCUCCUGGGGAACCAUAUUCUGUAUUUAAUUUUGAAAUGCCCUUUUGAAGGACAUCACAUGAGAUUUUCAUUGUCUGUCUUCUGUAUAUCAUUCCUCUUGCCUAUUCUGGGUGAAACUGACCCCAGGUUAUUGCAGACACCUUGAAAUAUCUCCUGCUUUAUUUAAACCAAGUUUUCAGGCAUGUUACUUUAAACCCCUUCACAUCUGGAUAAACGAGUCUUAAGUUAUGACUGUGUAAUGUUUUUAUGGUAGGUUUUAAACUAUCAUUGUUUAUUUAUGGGAACAAUUUCAUGUAACUUUUUAGCAUUAUCAAAAAUGAAUACACAUUUGUAAACAUAGUAAGUAUUUAAGUAUUGGAAUAGGAAUAGUGAGUAUUUAAGUAUUAAAAAAUUUAUUGCAUGUUAAUUCUUCAAAGAAGUGACAAAUAUUUGGAUCCGCAAAAGAAAUCAUAAGUAAUUUAGUACAUAAUGCAGUCAUUGAAAAAAACAACAAUCCAUUAAUCAGAAAAAUAACAGUACCUAAUGGGUUGCAUUUGUAGUGUGAAGUGUCUGAAACUUGAACCUUUAUGCUGUAACAGCAUAAAGCAGCUCUAAGCCAAAUUGGCUGUUUUAAUUUCUGCAUGGCUAACACUUAGGAAAUAUGAUUAAUAAAUUUUUAAUGCA